rnacentral:rRNA from 1 species
GUGGGGAAUAUUGGACAAUGGGCGAAAGCCUGAUCCAGCCAUGCCGCGUGUGUGAAGAAGGUCUUCGGAUUGUAAAGCACUUUAAGUUGGGAGGAAGGGCAGUAAGUUAAUACCUUGCUGUUUUGACGUUACCGACAGAAUAAGCACCGGCUAACUUCGUGCCAGCAGCCGCGGUAAUACGAAGGGUGCAAGCGUUAAUCGGAAUUACUGGGCGUAAAGCGCGCGUAGGUGGUUUUGUAAGUUGGAGGUGAAAUCCCCGGGCUCAACCUGGGAACUGCCUCAAAAACUGCAUGACUAGAGUACGGUAGAGGGUAGUGGAAUUUCCUGUGUAGCGGUGAAAUGCGUAGAUAUAGGAAGGAACACCAGUGGCGAAGGCGACUACCUGGACUGAUACUGACACUGAGGUGCGAAAGCGUGGGGAGCAAACAGGAUUAGAUACCCUAGUAGUCC